CUGAUUGGUGCUUAGCCCCCGAGUUCGGGAACUAGCCUGUGCCGUUGGAGGCAUGCUUAGUAGGUGUCGCGACCAGCGUCGUCGCCAAAGCUUGACCUGAAAGAAAAAAUGCGUACAUUAUGUAGCAUAUUUGUAGGAUUUUGAAACUGAAAAUUUCAGUGAUCAGUAUGAAAGUUGUGUCAUGCUCUUAUUUCGGUCAUAUUCUUCCCGAGUAGUUAGC
rnacentral:lncRNA from 1 species